rnacentral:rRNA from 1 species
GUGUCAGCAGCCGCGGUAAUACGUAGGGGGCAAGCGUUGUCCGGAAUCAUUGGGCGUAAAGCGCGCGUAGGCGGCCAGAUAAGUCCGGUGUGAAAGUCACAGGCUCAACCUGUGAAUGCCGCUGGAAACUGUCUGGCUUGAGUCCGGAAGGGGCGAGUGGAAUUCCUGGUGUAGCGGUGAAAUGCGCAGAUAUCAGGAGGAACACCAAUGGCGAAGGCAGCUCGCUGGAACGGUACUGACGCUGAGGCGCGAAAGCGUGGGGAGCGAACAGGAUUAGAUACCCUGGUAGUCC